UAAUACGUAGGGGGCAAGCGUUGUCCGGAUUUACUGGGCGUAAAGCGCGCGUAGGCGGAACGGCGUGUCCGGUCUGAAAGCCCCCGGCUCAACCGGGGAAGGUGGCUGGAAACUGCCGCUUCUGGAGGGCGACAGAGGAGUGCGGAAUUCCUGGUGUAGCGGUGAAAUGCGUAGAUAUCAGGAGGAACACCCGUGGCGAAGGCGGCACUCUGGGUCGGCCCUGACGCUGAGGUGCGAAAGCGUGGGGAGCGAACGGGAUUAGAUACCCCGGUAGUCCACGCCGUAAACGAUGGUCACUAGGUGUGUGCGGUAUCGACCCCGCACGUGCCGGCGCUAACGCAUUAAGUGACCCGCCUGGGGAGUACGGCCGCAAGGUUG
rnacentral:rRNA from 1 species